GGUUGCAAAACCCAUUUUGCAUCUGCUGGCUGCAUCUUUCCUGACAAUCUCCCAGUCUCCCUUCAUUUCUUGUGUAUUAGCCCUGUUACUCCUGGACUACCUGAGCCCCUCUCACUGUCUUUCCAUGUGACCUGGGAUAAAGAGGGGGGUGGGAGAGAAGAAGGAGGAUUGGAGGGCAUUUGAAGUUUGAUCACGUGACACCCAGAAAGCACACUGUUAAGCCGCAGAACCUGUGAGUCCAGGGCGCAGCACCCCGUCCAGGACAUCCUGCCACACCUGGGCCGUCAGCAGGCUGACCCGGAACCAGGAGGAGUACCAGCAGCAGCACCUGGAGUUCCUGCGAUGGUAGGUCCGUUGCCAGGAGCACUGGGUGCAAGAAGACCUGCAGCUGCAGCGGGAGAGCUUGCGGGAGCUGCUUGACCAGGGGCAUGCCAUGCGUGACCAGCUGCAGACUCUGGUGCAGAUUUUACUGCAUGCUGCUGCUCCAGCCCCUGCGGCCGCCCCAGCUAUCACUCCUCCUCCCACUCUUGGUCCUCCUCCCGCUUUUUCCUCCCCCAC